GAACGUAUUGCUUAGUGGUCAGGGUGCUUGGAUGGUUUCCAAGUGGCGCGGGUUGAAAUUCCGCUAUGUUCA
rnacentral:tRNA from 1 species